AUUUUUUAAACNGCNGCAGNACCCUGACUGUGCUAAGGUAGCGUAAUCAGUUGGCUCUUAAAUGGAGUCGAGAAUGAAUGGGUUUUUGGGGGCCAGCUGUCUCCAUUAAGCUAAUUUUAAUUUAAUUAGGGGGUGAAAAUUCCCUCAUGAAGAAAAAAGACGAGAAGACCCUUAGAGUUUUUACUAUGCUACUUGUUUAGUAGGAAGUUUUUGCUGGGGCGGCAAGGAGGCAUAGGUAAACCCUCUGUAUAGAAUUUUUAGUAGACGUUUUUGAAAAGGUGACAAUAAACUACCUUAGGGAUAACAGCAUAAUUUAGUUUAAGUUUGUGACCUCGAUGUUGGACUAGGGACUUUACGGCUAGCAGCCACAAGAGCUGGUUCUGUUCGAACCUUUCCCCCUA
rnacentral:rRNA from 1 species